GCAAGCGUUAAUCGGAAUUACUGGGCGUAAAGCGCGCGUAGGCGGUUUGGUAAGUGUGAUGUGAAAGCCCCGGGCUCAACCCCAUGCAUGCCGGGGAUACUGGGGGGCUUGAGACAGGUAGAGGCCAGCGGAAUUCCGGGUGUAGCGGUGGAAUGCGUAGAGAUCCGGAAGAACACCGGAGGCGAAGGCGGCUGGCUGGACCUGAUCUGACGCUGAGGUGCGAAAGCGUGGGGAGCGAACA
rnacentral:rRNA from 1 species